GCGGGGGACGCCUGCGGGCAGGGGGCAGGGGCCGGCAGCCCGAGGGCACCCCCGGCAGAGCUCCUGCCUCUGCGGGCGCUGGUGCUCGCGCACUUUGGGUUUGAUGAGUGACUAAGCGUCGUCCCCCAGUGUCCUUCAGGGGCGUGGCUUUCGUGACCACAGGGCAACAUGUUUCUAGAAUUUUCUGAGGACUCUGUGCACUUCCAGGAGCUGGUGAGACGCAGUAGGAACUGGACUCGGGCGUGGGGAGGUGUGGACAUGGUGUGGUCAGUGGGUCAAAGUGCUCGACGGAGGCCCUUGGCCUCCUGGCUGGGAACCACUGCCGCCCUUUGCCUGAUCCAGCUUUGUCGGUGGUAGUUUGCUUAACCUGCCAGUGCACGUUUUUAUGCUUUUGGCCCGUACCAUCCCAGUAACCAUUUUUUAAGACCCAUAUUGGUCUGAAAUACGAAUCCCCUGCACCGCUGCAACUGCAACCGAAUCAUAAUCCUGCCUGCUUGCCCACAGGUCUCUGAAUUUGCUCUAUUUUUCCAUCAAGGAAAACGUGGUGAUUCUGUAAAUUCUAGGACAUAGUUUUAUAAAACCAUGACCAUAAGUCUACUUUUCUCUAGGAUAAAGGACAAAAACAAGUUAUUCCGGUCUCUCUGUUUCUUCUUGUUGUUGUUUUUCUGAUGGAUAAAAGGGAGGACUUCCAGCAGAGGCCUGGCUGCUACCAUGCGGCAUCCAGGCAGAGGGUAAGGGGGAGCUGGCCAGCUGAUGCCUGGGGAGCGGGGAGGGCAGGUGCAAAGGUCCUGCGGCAGAGAGGAGAGGGCCCGAGAGGGCAGGCGCGGUCAGGUCUGGUCGGCCGUGGUCACCGCGGGGAUUUUGCUGAGUCAGAGGGAGGGACCCCGGGUGGAGAAAAGGCUCAGGUGUGGGGCAGCCCGGUGAGAGAAGGCGCUGGCUCCCGCGGGUUUGUGUGGAGGCGCCCACGGUCCCGGCCUGCGCAGAUAUUGGCGGGGGAGGCUGCGGGAAAGCAGGAGGGGAGAGGCCACGGUUUCUGUUCCAGGAGUGCUGGGCCGAGUGGACACAGCCAGAGGCCAGUAAACAUAUUGUGACGACAGAUGCAUACCUGAGCGCCCACACCUGGGCAGUCAACCUGAGAGUCCACACCUGAGCAUCCACACCUGGGCAUCCACACCUGAGCAUCCGUACCUGCAUCUCCACGCAGACCCACUGACCACACUGCCCAUCGCUGCCCUUUGGAGCUUCUUGACGUUUUCCAUAUGGCUGGUAGACGGUCAACGUUUGUGGUAGCUCCAUGUGUGAAUAAAGACCAAGAAUCAUAGGACUUGAGCAACACAAAACAUAUAAAAUAAAAUCAAGCUUUUAAAAGAAGGCUUUAUUGGCACUUUUUUGGCUUCUUGAUUUGCUGCUUUAAAUUAGAGCGGAGGCCCUGCCCCUGGCUGGGGGCGGGGGACCAUGCUGACCCCCGGCCGAGGCCUGGACCAGCUGGGACACCGGUGGCCCGUGCUUUCCCCUGGAGGCGUUCUCUCUUGCUCCCGGCAGCCCCGCCUCCCAGGGAAACGCAGCACUUGAGCUGGCGCGUCCUGCAGGCAGGGGCUCCAACCCCGCACCCUGGCAUGCUCCCCCAGCCUCGGCCCCCAGGGUGGCGUAAGGGGUAGAAAGGCCCUCCCUGCCCCUCCCCUGCCAGGGCACAAACCUUCCUCCCUUCCUGCUGCCCCCUCCCUGCUCCCAGAAUAGCCUGUGGCCAGAGCCGCUGCAGUAAACAGCCUGCCUGGGUGAGCCGCCCGCAGGAAACGUCCUGGGAGCUGGAGGCACAGGGCCAGCUCCUCGCCAGCCACUGGGCCCGCGGGCGGGCACUGCAGGCAGGCGGGCAGGGGCCGGCGGGGCCUGGAGGGAGGCAGCCCCGUUCUCAGGCCUCACCGCCCCCCUUGCUCCCGCCCCAGGAAGGAGCCUGGCCCCUUCUGGAAACGCUCCCAGGCACUGGGCAGGAGACCCGCUCACCCAGUGCUGGAGGGGCGCAGCAUCUGGGGUGCCCCCCACGGCCACUCCUCACCCGGCGCUUCCAGGAGCCCCUGGGGCACUGCGGGCUGCACCCCGAAGCCUCUCCCCGGCUGUGCCCUCUUCUUCCUGCGCCCCCCACACCAUCCGCAGGCGUCUGCAGAGCCGGUUCUCUGGCCCCCAGGAGAGGCGAUGGGCAGCCCCGGUCUCACGUCUCCUUUUUUCUUGGAGGGACGGAAGGGGGCUCAGCAGAGGCACCGGCUCAUGGGGGGGGGGGGCCGGGGCAUCAGCCCCUCCCAGCGUGACGGCCCCCGGGGACCCGACCGUGCCCCUGCGCCCAGGCGCUUUCCCUGGAGGUGCCCCGGCUGCGGGCACCCCCAGUCCCCUGGCCGGGCACAGCCGCCUCUGCAGGGCGUCCCGCCACUCCACCCCCCCAGGCUGGCUCCCUGCU
rnacentral:lncRNA from 1 species